UCAAAUGAAGAAUGAGGGGAAGCAAAAAUGGAAGAUGACUGUAGAUUCCCCAGGAUAUGGAGGAGUCAAAUGAAGGUAAAGAUGAGAAGUUCCAGAUAAAUGGAUAACUAACUAAGAAGCACAACAAAAAUGUCAAACUUAAACUUAGCUUUCCUUCAAUACAAUUUGAGAAACUUGAGCUCUCUUAUUAUCUAUUUGAAUCAAACUAGAACCAACUUAUGAUCAAACUUCACUCGCAUCCAAACUUGAGCAACACCAUGAGGGUGACCAACUUCUCUAGAGACAACAGGUUCCCCUACCAAACUUCAGUGGAGAGCAGAGGGAUUGUGCCCGGAGACUUCUGCAAAAAUUUGAGGAAGUCAGUAAAGAUUAUUGAGUUCCUUGUUGAGUCCCAAGAUUCCUCUGAAGGUAGCUGAGACACACGACUCCCUUGGCAGUUGCAAGAUGUAUGGCAUACUAGCCUUUAAUAACACUUUGAUUUUAGUUAUCUUGUAAUUAUUACAUUUUCUUUAAUUGCUCUUUUAAGAUCAUAUUUUUGAAUCCAACCUGGAAUGGAAAGGACUUCAAAUU